rnacentral:rRNA from 1 species
UCGGGAAUUUUGGACAAUGGGCGCAAGCCUGAUCCAGCCAUGCCGCGUGCAGGAUGACGGUCCUAUGGAUUGUAAACUGCUUUUUGUACAGGAAGAAACAGUUCUACGUGUAGAACCUUGACGGUACUGUAAGAAUAAGGAUCGGCUAACUCCGUGCCAGCAGCCGCGGUAAUACGGAGGAUCCAAGCGUUAUCCGGAAUCAUUGGGUUUAAAGGGUCCGUAGGCGGUUAGAUAAGUCAGUGGUGAAAGCCCAUCGCUCAACGGUGGAACGGCCAUUGAUACUGUCUGACUUGAAUUAUUAGGAAGUAACUAGAAUAUGUAGUGUAGCGGUGAAAUGCUUAGAGAUUACAUGGAAUACCAAUUGCGAAGGCAGGUUACUACUAAUGGAUUGACGCUGAUGGACGAAAGCGUGAGUAGCGAACAGGAUUAGAUACCCCCGUAGUCCCUGAGCGGGCUGGCAAGGCGCAU